GGAAAGAUGACACCGGAGGAAAGAGACUUAUUCAAGUCCAGGUUUGAGGUGCCAGCGCAGCCAAUGAGAGACAGUUUCCCUCAGACCCCCCCAGGGAGGAGCCUGAAGAAGCUUCCGCAGCGACAACUACAAACUUCAUCCCUGGUUAGAAAACUCACAAUCAAAAGAUGCAGCUUACUGUUUUGCAUGUCGGCAUUUUUCCAGACAGAAAAGAGACCAUGGAGUUUGGCUGCACUCAGCAUUGAAUCAACGCACAAAAGCAUCCGAUCUCGAUCAGUUUGUGGAGCGUUUUGCAGAGCAGCAUGGAAAUCACCGCAUUCAGCUGUUACAGACAUGUCAACUUCAUGUUAUGCUCACUGGCGUCACAGGAUGAACUGACUGAGUGCAGGUGAGAUGACGGCUUCACGGCGGCAGAGUCGGCUCGCUGCACAGGAAGCAGAGGAGGAAGCAGAGGAACUUCGCAUUAGAGGGUUUUAGAUUGAAGACCCACAGUGAGAGAUUCAAACAUUUAGAAAGUAAGUUAAAAUCAGCCAUCAAAUGCAUGUGAUGGCAUUACAUACAAACAUCAGGGCUCUCCAUAAGGACAUGAAGUAGACAGCCAGUGGGGUCCAGGGGUUUGCCCACUCGCCCCGUUAAAAAAAUGUGCCCAUAACAGUCCAAAUUUGGUGGCCUCUGACAUUCUAAUGCCACUAAUCCAUCAUAUAUAGAUCUUAAUUAUGGAUAUCGUAAUGAGUUUGCCUACCUGACAUG